rnacentral:lncRNA from 1 species
GGGUGUCCAUGGCAUCGUUGGGGUUAAGCCACUUAGCCAUGGAGGCAAUUGAAUGCGCAACAAGGGAUAUCUAACCUUCAAACCAUUUGGGGGAGAAUACUCUAUGAUAUGAUUGAAAAUCUCUGAUCAGAGUAUGAAUGAGAUUUAGGAAGGCAUUCCAAAUCACAUUCAAGGUAAUCAUAUAAGUAAAUGAAUCACAUUGGAUA